GGUUUUCACUCCUACGGGAGGCAGCAGUGGGGAAUAUUGCACAAUGGGCGCAAGCCUGAUGCAGCCAUGCCGCGUGUGUGAAGAAGGCCUUCGGGUUGUAAAGCACUUUCAGUCGUGAGGAAGGUAGUGUAGUUAAUAGCUGCAUUAUUUGACGUUAGCGACAGAAGAAGCACCGGCUAACUCCGUGCCAGCAGCCGCGGUAAUACGGAGGGUGCGAGCGUUAAUCGGAAUUACUGGGCGUAAAGCGCAUGCAGGUGGUUUGUUAAGUCAGAUGUGAAAGCCCGGGGCUCAACCUCGGAAUUGCAUUUGAAACUGGCAGACUAGAGUACUGUAGAGGGGGUAGAAUUUCAGGUGUAGCGGUGAAAUGCGUAGAGAUCUGAAGGAAUACCGGUGGCGAAGGCGGCCCCCUGGACAGAUACUGACACUCAGAUGCGAAAGCGUGGGGAGCAAACAGGAUUAGAUACCCUGGUAG
rnacentral:rRNA from 1 species